GCGCGAUUAGCUCAGUUGGUAGAGCAGGAUGUUUACACCAUCAAGGCCGUAGGUUCGAGUCCUACAUCGCGCA
rnacentral:tRNA from 1 species